UGGGGAAUAUUGGGCAAUGGGGGAAACCCUGACCCAGCAACGCCGCGUGAGGGAAGAAGGCCUUCGGGUUGUAAACCUCUGUCCUUGGGGACGAAGAAAUGACUGUACCCAAGGAGGAAGCUCCGGCUAACUACGUGCCAGCAGCCGCGGUAAUACGUAGGGAGCGAGCGUUGUCCGGAAUUACUGGGCGUAAAGGGUGCGUAGGCGGCGUCUUAAGUUUAUUGUGAAAUCCCCGGGCUUAACUUGGGGCUUGCAGUAAAAACUGGGAUGCUAGAGUACAGGAGAGGUAAGUGGAAUUCCUAGUGUAGCGGUGGAAUGCGUAGAUAUUAGGAGGAACACCAGUGGCGAAGGCGACUUACUGGACUGAAACUGACGCUGAGGCACGAAAGUGUGGGGAGCAAACAGG
rnacentral:rRNA from 1 species